AGGACAAACGCUGGCGGGGUGCAUGAGACAUGCAAGUCGAACGAGGUGCCAUCGGGCUUGCUCGAUGGUUGCCGAGUGGCGAACGGCUGAGUAACGCGUAGGUGACCUGCCCGGAAGUGGGGAAUAACUGCCCGAAAGGGUGGCUAAUACCGCAUGUGGUCGGCGAUUCGCUUCGUCGUCCAAAGGAGUAAUCCGCUUCCGGAGGGGCCUGCGUCCGAUUAGCUAGUUGGUGGGGUAACGGCCUACCAAGGCGACGACGGGUAGCUGGUCUGAGAGGACGACCAGCCACACUGGAACUGAGAUACGGUCCAGACUCCUACGGGAGGCAGCAGUGGGGAAUAUUGCACAAUGGGCGAAAGCCUGAUGCAGAGACGCCGCGUGAGGGAUGAAGGCCUUCGGGUCGUAAACCUCUUUCGGCAGGGACGAAGCGAUCAGUGACGGUACCUGCAGAAGAAGCCCCGGCUAACUACGUGCCAGCAGCCGC
rnacentral:rRNA from 1 species